rnacentral:rRNA from 1 species
AGAGUUUGAUCCUGGCUCAGGAUGAACGCUAGCGGCAGGCUUAACACAUGCAAGUCGAGGGGUAACAGGAAUAGCUUGCUAUUUGCUGACGACCGGCGCACGGGUGAGUAACGCGUAUGCAACCUACCUUUUACAGGGGGAUAGCCCGAAGAAAUUCGGAUUAAUACCCCAUAACGAUGUUUAACUACCUAGUUUUACAUUUAAAGUUUCGGCGGGUAAAAGAUGGGCAUGCGUUUUAUUAGUUAGUUGGUAAGGUAACGGCUUACCAAGACUACGAUAAAUAGGGGUCCUGAGAGGGAGAUCCCCCACACUGGUACUGAGACACGGACCAGACUCCUACGGGAGGCAGCAGUGAGGAAUAUUGGACAAUGGGCGCAAGCCUGAUCCAGCCAUGCCGCGUGCAGGAAGACAGCCCUAUGGGUUGUAAACUGCUUUUAUACGGGAAGAAUAAGGGACAUGCGUGUCCUGGUGACGGUACCGUAAGAAUAAGGACCGGCUAACUCCGUGCCAGCAGCCGCGGUAAUACGGAGGGUGCAAGCGUUAUCCGGAAUCAUUGGGUUUAAAGGGUCCGUAGGCGGGCAAUUAAGUCAGGGGUGAAAUCCCACAGCUCAACUGUGGAACUGCCUUUGAUACUGGUUGUCUUGAGUUAUGGUGAAGUUGCCGGAAUAUGUAGUGUAGCGGUGAAAUGCAUAGAUAUUACGUAGAACACCGAUUGCGAAGGCAGGUGACUAACCAUAUACUGACGCUGAUGGACGAAAGCGUGGUGAGCGAACAGGAUUAGAUACCCUGGUAGUCCACGCCGUAAACGAUGGAUACUAGCUGUCCGCUGCGAGCAGUGGGCGGCCAUGCGAAAGUGAUAAGUAUCCCACCUGGGGAGUACGUUCGCAAGAAUGAAACUCAAAGGAAUUGACGGGGGCCCGCACAAGCGGUGGAGCAUGUGGUUUAAUUCGAUGAUACGCGAGGAACCUUACCAGGGCUUAAAUGUAGAUUGACAGGGCUAGAGAUAGCUUUUCCUUCGGGCAAUUUACAAGGUGCUGCAUGGUUGUCGUCAGCUCGUGCCGUGAGGUGUCAGGUUAAGUCCUAUAACGAGCGCAACCCCUGCCGUUAGUUGCCAGCAUGUAAAGAUGGGGACUCUAACGGGACUGCCGGUGCAAACCGUGAGGAAGGUGGGGAUGACGUCAAAUCAUCACGGCCCUUACGUCCUGGGCCACACACGUGCUACAAUGGCCGGUACAGAGAGCAGCCAUGUUGCAAGACAGAGCGAAUCUAUAAAACCGGUCACAGUUCGGAUCGGGGUCUGCAACUCGACCCCGUGAAGCUGGAAUCGCUAGUAAUCGGAUAUCAGCCAUGAUCCGGUGAAUACGUUCCCGGGCCUUGUACACACCGCCCGUA